GCAGGUAUAGCUCUGUGGAAGAGUGUGUGGCUAGCAAGCACGAGGUCCUGGGUUCAAUCCCCAGUGCCUCCA
rnacentral:tRNA from 1 species